rnacentral:rRNA from 1 species
GAAUAGGGCGGUACCUUGACGGUACCUUAACCAGAAAAGCCACGGCUAACUACGUGCCCUGCAGCCGCGGUAAUACGUAGGUGGCAAGCGUUGUCCGGAAUUAUUGGGCGUAAAGGGCUCGCAGGCGGUUCCUUAAGUCUGAUGUGAAAGCCCCCGGCUCAACCGGGGAGGGUCAUUGGAAACUGGGGAACUUGAGUGCAGAAGAGGAGAGUGGAAUUCCACGUGUAGCGGUGAAAUGCGUAGAGAUGUGGAGGAACACCAGUGGCGAAGGCGACUCUCUGGUCUGUAACUGACGCUGAGGAGCGAAAGCGUGGGGAGCGAACAGGAUUAGAUACCCUGGUAGUCCACGCCGUAAACGAUGAGUGCUAAGUGUUAGGGGGUUUCCGCCCCUUAGUGCUGCAGCUAACGCAUUAAGCACUCCGCCUGGGGAGUACGGUCGCAAGACUGAAACUCAAAGGAAUUGACGGGGGCCCGCACAAGCGGUGGAGCAUGUGGUUUAAUUCGAAGCAACGCGAAGAACCUUACCAGGUCUUGACAUCCUCUGACAAUCCUAGAGAUAGGACGUCCCCUUCGGGGGCAGAGUGACAGGUGGUGCAUGGUUGUCGUCAGCUCGUGUCGUGAGAUGUUGGGUUAAGUCCCGCAACGAGCGCAACCCUUGAUCUUAGUUGCCAGCAUUCAGUUGGGCACUCUAAGGUGACUGCCGGUGACAAACCGGAGGAAGGUGGGGAUGACGUCAAAUCAUCAUGCCCCUUAUGACCUGGGCUACACACGUGCUACAAUGGACAGAACAAAGGGCAGCGAAACCGCGAGGUUAAGCCAAUCCCACAAAUCUGUUCUCAGUUCGGAUCGCAGUCUGCAACUCGACUGCGUGAAGCUGGAAUCGC